AGGGCUCAGAGAUGCACUGGUACCCCAUGAGGCAUCUGGAAAAAGGCAACUAACUUGUUUAUCUGAAUUCCUCAAAAGGAGAGCAGCGUGAUGAAAAAUGAAUGCCACCAAUUAUUACACAACAAUGUAGGUGUCUAAUUCCUCAGCCAGUAACCUCUCUUUAGCACUCCAGCAGUGCUUCAGCCGGCCAUGUAAGGAGCUAUCCUCAGUCUACCCUCAGGGAGAUUCCCAUAUCAACUAUGGCAUCUUGGGCAGUCACAUCCUGUAUGCUCAUAGGAUCUGCAUCACAGAGUUGCACUUCCUGCACUCUCAGAUGAACCCGAAGGUGGCAUUUUUCGCAAAGAGAACAACUGUGAUAAAAGUCCAUCUGUGACCUAAGAGAAGCACUGAGAACAGCAAGGAGGGAACAUCAAAACCUGUACUUGGCCAAUUUUGAGACACAGAGGCUGAAACUGUGACAGUGGUCACCAUGCAGCAGGUGACCAGCUCAGUUCUCAGGUCUGCUUUUG
rnacentral:lncRNA from 1 species